rnacentral:miRNA from 1 species
UUGAGCAGGAACAGGU